rnacentral:rRNA from 1 species
CGAAACUGCGAAUGGCUCAUUACAACAGUUGUAAUCUAUUUGAUGAUUUUCUUACAUGGAUAACCGUGGGAAACUAGGGCUAAUACAUGCGUAAAGCCGUUCAGGCUGUAUUUAUUAGUUUCAAACCAUUGCGGCGCGAGUCGCUUUGUGAGGAAUCAAAAUAACUGAUCGAAGCCAAUCCUUUGGCUAAAUCAUUCGAGCUUCUGACCCAUCAGUUUGUUGUUAGUGUAUUGGACUAACAAGACUCUCACGGGUAACGGAGAAUUGGGGUUCGAUUCCGGAGAGUCAGCCUGAGAAACGGCUGACAUUUCUACGGAAGGCAGCAGGCGUGAAAAUUACCCAAUCACAAUUCGUGGAGGUAGUUAAUAGACAUAACA